UUUUCCUUUUUUUUUUGCUUUG
rnacentral:sRNA from 1 species